AACCGUUGGACAUUCCCUUUGUUUAACAGGAGUGUUUGAAGGAGUGGCUCUUCCGUUACUCAGGAAACAAAAGAGCAAUUUUAGACUUACAGGAACUCAGAGUCUGAAGCGACUACUGCGGGAGCUGUGUAAGGAAAAUACACCUUUUCACCUAGAAGUUGAGUACAUCUUGAUUUAGAACAGAACAAGAAACAUUGAAGAUGCCUGUUCGUCGUUUUCAUAGUGAACCUCUGGAAAACGCAGAGAUUCUCUAUGAAGACACAUAUCGAACUGGUAUAAGAUGUAACCUCAUUUUCUUCACCCACUCUGGAACACACUACAGGGCUGCAAUAGAAGAAGCUUACCCUCAAUCCAAGGCUAUUCGAAUGGAAAUAAACAAGAAAUUCAAACUUGAGCUCUUUGAUGGAGGCACUGUGUCUAUAUUUGACAGUGGAAUCAUUGUGAUUCAAGUCUGUAGGUUUGAAGAAUUAUAGUUUUGUACCCACUGAGGUCCGUCUCAUAUCUGAAGGUCACAGCAUCAGCGUUCAGGUACAUGUCCUACAGAUCAGUUAGGUUAAGAUAAAACAUGGGAUAUUAUUUUAUAUUAUAUUGAUUUUGCUUUGCCUUUGCUAAUUUAUAGAAAUAAAAUAUCAUGCAUACAAAAGUCUAA
ensembl:lncRNA